UGGAAAAUGAAAACAGAAUGAAAAGAGUGUUGCUCCACUUGCAUAGAAGAGAUAAGUUAAGAGGUUGAAUUCACUUGCAAGAUCAAUAACAUCAGUUGAGAACAGACUGAACAAGAUAGCAACAAGGUGAUUGGUGAAACUGAGUGAGGUGAGUUCUUGAUGGAUGAACGGAAGAGAGUGUUUCACUGUUUCUUUCAUCUGAGUUGCAGGAUCAGAUUUCUCAGUGAGGUCUUCAAUGUUGAUUUGGGGGAGAAUGAUGAAUGAUGAGUUUGGUGGAAGAGAGUUGUUGAGGAUGGAUUUCAUGGAAGAAGAAGGAGCACCAAGUGUUGGAACUAUGAACUUCACAUGCAAAUUUUCUCUUUGAAAUGAUAGUAAUCUCUUUGAGAACUCAACCAGUGGAAUCAAAUGGCUAAGUCCUGGGGAAGGAACCAUAACAAUGCAUGGAUUUUUCUUCUCCAUUGUGUAUAUAAUUAAUGUGGAACUUGUAUGUGAAAAUUUAAUUUGAUGAAGAGAGAUUUUAUAGUGAGUGAAUGAAUUAUUAGGGGAAAAGAGUGAAUGAUGUAAGCUCUUGCGUAGAUUCAAGACAUUAUGUAUUCAUCAUCAAGAUCAGAGCUGAGAUAAGAUGACAUGAGUGGACCCAAAUUAGGAUGACAAAUUAUGUAUGUUCUUUUCUUCAUUCCAUUAAUUAAGCGUAUAAUAAUGAUUCGCAAAUCGGCUAUUUUUUCCUUUUUUUAAAUAUGAAUGAAAAUGAUGUGUUAUGACAAUGGAAUAAUUGGUGUUUUUUUUAAUAUGGUAUUAAUUUUUUAAAUUAUUAUUAAAUAAAUUAGACGGUCAAAUUUGUUGAGUCAAAUAAAAAAUGGAAAUGGAGGCUAUACUUGCAAUUUUUUUUUUUUGAAUACCACACAAAUAAAGUACAGAAAUUAGUAGGUCUGAUUUUAGGAUUUUUUAUUUUAAUAAAUUAAAUAAAUAUUUUAUUUAUUGAAAUAAAUAAUUUUACAAAAAUACGUCAACCUCUGUUAUCUCGUUUACAUUGUAAACGAGAUAAUUUGCACAUAUUUUGUUUAUAGUGUAAAUAAAAUAUGUGUAUUUUUUCAAUUUUUAUAUAUCUCGUUUACCGUAUAAAAGAGAUAUAUGUAUUUGUAAAUACAAAAAUAUAUUUUUUAAAAAUAAUAAAAAAUAUUAAUAAUUUAAAUUGGACUAAACUAUUAAAAAUGGAACAUUUCAAAUAAUAUGAAAGAUAUUUGAAUGUGCGAUAUAUGUUCAAAUUGCUCUAUAUUCUCAUACCAAAAUGGAACCCCAAAGAAAAUUAGAAAAUUAUGUAGAAUAUGAUUCUCUCUCUAUAGUGAGGUAUCUUGAGAUACAAAUUACAAACAGAUGAUAUGUUUAAAGCUCGAUUUGCAGAUUGUCAUUUUGAUGAAUCAAAAUUUUAAACAUUAAGAGGAGAGAAUAAGCUUCUCGAAAAGAAACUUAAUUGGAAUGCAUCAUCAUUGAUGCAUUUAGAUCUUCGAUCAAGGCAAUAUGAAUUAGAAGUUCAAAAUAUUAUAAAUUUUCAAAGAAUAACAAAUGAAUUGCCUGAUACAUUUUCUGAUACGAAAAGGAUAACUACAUCCUAUAUACCAGUUGAAAAUGUUCCUAUUCAAAUUGACAAUCGGAGAAAUGACCACCAAAACAAAUUCACCUCAGAAGCGUGGUAGGCCUGUUGGUUUCAAAGACAAAAAUCUUCGAAAAAGAAAAGAUGCAAAUACUAUUCCUGUUAAAAAGGAUAAAGACAUAGUAAAGACACGUGCAGUUGUCCAGAAUUCUUAUAUAGUUUUGACGCCAAAAAAUAUUCAAGUACUUGAAAAUUCUAAAAAUUGUGAAAAUGAUGAGAUCUCAAUAAAUUAUGUCUUUAUAGGAGAAAAAUAAAAACAAAAUAAAACAACUGUCAAUGAAAUAUUUGCAUAUAAUGUGGCAUUACACAUCAUGCAUGAAAGUAAGGAUUUUGAGCCAAUAACAGUCGAAAAAUGUCGACAAAAGAAUGAUUGGCCAAAAUGAGAAGAAGUUAUGAAGGUUGAGUUAGACUCACUUGCAAAGCGUGAAGUUUUUGAACAUGUAGUCCGUACACCAAAAUAUGUAAAACCUGUUGGAUACAAAUGGGUAUUUGUAAGAAAACAAAAUGAAAACAAUAAAGUUUAUACGCUACAAAGCUUGACUUGUGGCACAAGAUUUUUCACAAAGGUUCGGUAUAGAUUAUGAAAAAACAUAUUCCCUUGUAGUAGAUACAAUAACAUUGCAUUAUUUGGUCAUUUUAUCCGCAUAUCAUAAACUACAUAUACAUCUAAUGGAUGUGGUGACAGCCUAUUUAUACGGAUCAUUAGAUCAUGAUAUCUAUAUGAAAAUUCCUGAAUGACUAAAGAUAUCUAAAUUAUCCAAUAAAUACUCGCAGGAGUUAUACUCAGUUAAAUUGCAAUGAUCUUUAUAUGGUCUAAAGUAAUCUAGAAGAAUGUGGUAUAAUCGUCUUAUUGAAUAUAUGGCCAAAAACAUAUUCAAGAAUGAUAAUAUCUGCCCAUGUAUUUUCAUAAAAAAAUUUGUAUCUAGAUUCAUUAUAAUUGUUGUGUGCGUUGAUGAUUUAAAUAUCAUUAGAUUCCAACAAUUAUAAAAGUUCUAAAAGAAGAAUUUGAGAUGAAAGAUUUUGGAAAGACUAAAUUUUGUUUCAGCCUGCAAAUCGAACAUACAAAGUAUGGGAUAUUUAUUUAUCAAACAACAUAUACAGAAAAGAUCUUGAAGAGAGAACAGACUGAACAAGAUAGCAACAAGGUGAUUGGUGAAACUGAGUGAGGUGAGUUCUUGAUGGAUGAACGGAAGAGAGUGUUUCACUGUUUCUUUCAUCUGAGUUGCAGGAUCAGAUUUCUCAGUGAGGUCUUCAAUGUUGAUUUGGGGGAGAAUGAUGAAUGAUGAGUUUGGUGGAAGAGAGUUGUUGAGGAUGGAUUUCAUGGAGGAAGAAGGAGCACCAAGUGUUGGAACUAUGAACUUCACAUGCAAAUUUUCUCUUUGAAAUGAUAGUAAUCUCUUUGAGAACUCAACCAGUGGAAUCAAAUGGCUAAGUCCUGGGGAAGGAACCAUAACAAUGCAUGGAUUUUUCUUCUCCAUUGUGUAUAUAAUUAAUGUGGAACUUGUAUGUGAAAAUUUAAUUUGAUGAAGAGAGAUUUUAUAGUGAGUGAAUGAAUUAUUAGGGGAAAAGAGUGAAUGAUGUAAGCUCUUGCGUAGAUUCAAGACAUUAUGUAUUCAUCAUCAAGAUCAGAGCUGAGAUAAGAUGACAUGAGUGGACCCAAAUUAGGAUGACAAAUUAUGUAUGUUCUUUUCUUCAUUCCAUUAAUUAAGCGUAUAAUAAUGAUUCGCAAAUCGGCUAUUUUUUCCUUUUUUUAAAUAUGAAUGAAAAUGAUGUGUUAUGACAA
rnacentral:lncRNA from 1 species